rnacentral:rRNA from 1 species
GACGAACGCUGGCGGCGUGCCUAAUACAUGCAAGUCGAGCGGACCAAAGGGAGCUUGCUCCUGGAGGUUAGCGGCGAACGGGUGAGUAACACGUGGGCAACCUGCCUGUAAGACUGGGAUAACAUCGAGAAAUCGGUGCUAAUACCGGAUAAUAAAAAGAACUGCAUGGUUCUUUUUGAAAGAUGGUUUCGGCUAUCACUUACAGAUGGGCCCGCGGCGCAUUAGCUAGUUGGUGAGGUAACGGCUCACCAAGGCGACGAUGCGUAGCCGACCUGAGAGGGUGAUCGGCCACACUGGGACUGAGACACGGCCCAGACUCCUACGGGAGCAGCAGUAGGGAAUCUUCCGCAAUGGACGAAAGUCUGACGGAGCAACGCCGCGUGAGUGAUGAAGGUUUCGGGUCGUAAAACUCUGUUGUUAGGGAAGAACAAGUGCCGUUCGAAAGGGCGGCACCUUGACGGUACCUAACGAGAAAG